rnacentral:rRNA from 1 species
UACGGGGGGGGGGCAAGCGUUUGCUCGGAAUCACUGGGGCGUAAAAGGGUGCGUAGGCGGGUCUUUUAAAGUCAGGGGUGAAAUCCUGGAGCUCAACUCCAGAACUGCCUUUGAUACUGAAGAUCUUGAGUUCGGGGAGAGGUGAGUGGAACUGCGAGUGUAGAGGUGAAAUUCGUAGAUAUUCGCAAGAACACCAGUGGCGAAGGCGGCUCACUGGCCCGAUACUGACGCUGAGGCACGAAAGCGUGGGGAGCAAACAGG